GGCCCCCUUUCCCUGGAGGAAGAGACUAGGGGUGAUAGUGUCAGUCCUGGAGCUCUAUUCCUUCAAGUCUGCCUCUAAAGCCAUUUCCUCCAUAGAAUCUUUCCUGGUACGUUUAAUCUCCCAGGGAGCCACUUACUCUCUUUGACCUUCCCAAUCCAAGUUGCGGAGAACUUACCUAUUCAGUGGACAAGCCUGACUUUUUCAGAACGAGAUGGAGAAGCAGAUUGAGAAUCCUCAGGGAAGAGCCCUGCCCGUCACCAUGGACUCCAGACCCGAGUCCACAGGGUGACAAGGCUCAGCCACUGCACCACUGGGGUCAGCCCCAGCUCGCCCUCCGCCACCUGUGAAAAAGGGAUUCAAGUAGCGUGCUUGGUGCUCCCCACUUCCCUCCUGCACCUGUGUGGUGGAGGCCGGGCAGCCAGAGACACUUGGGAACCUGCCUUGAAGAACAGUCAGGAGUCAGAGAGAUGAGCAGAGGACCCUGAGCCUGGGAGGCCUUUCCUUGGGACCAAAGGGGGAAAGGUCACCUUUGGGAUCAACCCCAGGACACCAUCUUGAGCAGCACUGACAGCAACUCUUUUGAAAGCUCACACCUGCAGUGCUGGCCCUGUCCCUCCUCAUUUGUUCAUUCAUUCAACACACAGUCUUGGGGUUCCUUCUGUGGGUUGAGCUCCUCUCUGGUAGAGAAGAUUGACAUUCUCUGCCAUGGGGAGAGUGUGGUAAGUAAAAUAGAAAUGGCUAACAUUGAUUGAGGGCUUACUAGGUGCCAGGCACUAUUCUAAGCCUGUAUGAAAUCAUUUAAUCCUCUCAAAAGCGCUAUGCAGGAGGGGAUUGUCAUUAUCCCCUUAUUAUACAUGGGAACACACGGGCUCAACGAGAAGAGGGAACUUGUCUGAGGUCACCCAGCUGGGAAGGGGCAGAGCCGGCCCAUGAAUACAGGCCUGUCUGACCUCAGAAGCCAAGGUCCUAACCACAGCCUGAACUUGGGUGUUCAAAGGAGAGAGACUCUCCUCACUGGGAGGAUCAGGGAAGACUUCUUGGAGGAGGUGGCACUGGAGCUGGCAUUGAGGCCUGAUGUCUGCGCUGGCUGUCCACAAAGCUGAGUGAGAAAUUCCAGGCUGAUGUGAGUGAAAGAGAGGCUCCAGUUGGCCCUGACCUUGCCCUGGCCUGCGCACCCCAGUGGCGUCGGACGCCUUUCCCAGGGCUCAGGCCUGGUGUGGGUGGCAGGGAUUCCCCUGAAUGGAGCCUGGGCUUGCUCCCCCGCUGAGAUUCCAGAUCCUGCCUGUGACUUUUCCAUGGGCCAUCACACCCCGGUGCUGCAGGAAGGAGGACAGAGGGAAUUGGUUUCCUCUGAGCAUGCGGCUUCUCCUUACCGGCCUGGACCCACUGCCCCCUCUGGGAUGAAGUGGGGAAAUUUUACCUUUGGGAACCUGCGAGAGCAAACUUUGGCGAUUUAGCAGCUGACACCCCAAAAGAAUGAACCUUAGGCGUCCAACCUCGGUCCCUGGCGCCUACAUCAGUACUCAAUAAAUCCUUGUGAAUGACGGAAGGAGUGAUUGGGUGCUCAGGGAGGGGUUGUCCACGGAGGUGUAAAACAGGCCUCUACCUGCCAGAGGUUUCCUGUCUAGUCGGGGAGGUGAGUGGGGGAGUCGCAGUGUGAUUUAUAAUAAUAACACUUUUCAUAACUCAAGUUUGAGGCACCAAAGGCCAUCUGAGGGAGGUAUGUGUCAACGUGCCGGUGGGGGAGCCUCUUCCGGAGGAGGCUUCCCCAAUUCUGGUCUGACGAGGCCCUGAGCUCCUGCUCUGCUCAGCAGAAGCUUUUCCUGGAGAUCCUUCUGUGCUGGGCCCCUCCCACUCACAGUUGGGGUGUCAGGCCCUCCUUUGGGCUCUGCUGCUCUCUGCCGAGGAUGGAGACUCCAGAACCACACUGAUAUGUGUACCUCCUCCUUGGGGAGGAGGGAGGGGGCCUCGCUGACUUCGCCCCUACCCCCUCCCAUGCCUGAUCUCCUCCAGGAGUCGCAAAGCUUACUUUCUCUGCUCAGACAGUGCUGGGGAGCGAGUUGUGCUUUUUGCUCAAAACCAGUUUCAGCAACUGCACGUGAAGGGGGAGGAUGGCAGCCCCCAGUCACACUCAUGGUGCCUUGUUCCAUGGGUCCCCCUGGUAGGAGGGUGUCUGCCCUUGUCCUCCAAGUCACCCACCUUUCUAUGGCCAGGGUAGUGGUGGUGGCUCUGUAUUCCACCCCUCUGUCCUAGUCCCCCCAGGACCUCACACUCUGGAGAUCCCAAGGCACUUGCUGUUGAUCCCCGGUGCCUCCCCACCACUCAGUCUCCCAGUGCAGGCACCUGUAGCAGGGAAGGGGGACCAUCAGAAUAAUCUUUGUAUGGCUUCACGUUGUUGAGUCUCACCCAUCUCUACAUUAUACCACACCCUGGGCAUUCAGAGAGGUUCAGUGACUUGCACAAGGUCACACAGCCAAGAAUGGCAGUUGGAACCUGAACCCCUCUGAUUCUCUGUCUAGUGCUCUUUCCACUGUAUUGGUGGACUCAGGAGACUAAGAACAGGUGAUACGAAGUUUGUCCCAGACACCCCCAUCCCAAGGAGCAGGGCAAGGAGGCAGAGAGUCCCAACUGAGGCCUCCUGGUUCCAGAUGAUAGAGAUUGUGACUAAAGCCAGAGAAUGGAAAGUGGAAAGGAAAGGAACUGUGGAUGGCGGAGCUCUGGAUUCUCCACAUCUGGAGGCAUUCCAGACAAGGGUCCAGGCCUGGUGGUUGCCGGUUCAGGAUGCCCUCUGCCGCCCCAGCUCUGGGUUGGAGUGGGGGUGGGGACAAGGUGCUAAUUUAUGUGGAACCCUUGGGGACCUGCCUUCCAGUGGAAAUACCAGGCUAACAGAAAGAGCAAAUAGAUGCUACAUCUGGAUCCCCAA
rnacentral:lncRNA from 1 species